ACUACAAACCGUGCUAUCGUUUCGCUGCCUUGUGCAGCGGGAAGGAAAGUCCGGACAGCGCAGAGCAACGCACCACCUAACGGGUGGGGCCUGGUGCAUAACCGGGAACAGCAAGUGCCACAGAAAAUAACCGUCCGCCUUCGGGCAGAUAAGGGUGAAAAUGUGGGGUAAGAGCCCACGGUGCAGGCAGGCAACUGUUUGUGCGGGUAAACCUUGCGUGCUGAAAUGCCAUGUAUACGGUCGCUUGAGGGCUGCUCGUCCGAUGACCGAGGGUAGGCAGAUAAAGAUGGUGUGUGAACGUCAUCGCAGAUAAAUGGUAGCAGUUCAUUCCGGCGUUGCCGGGGUGGGAACAGAAUCCGGCUUAUAGGUUUGUAGUUUUU
rnacentral:RNase_P_RNA from 1 species